CUUAUUACCCAAGACAUUCACCUACCCAGGUCAUACUUAUUACCCAAGACAAUCACCUACCCAGGUCAUACUUAUUACCCAAGACAAUCACCUACCCAUGUCAUACUUAUUACUCAAGACAAUCACCUACCCAGGUCAUACUUAUUACCCAAGACAAUCACCUACCCAUGUCAUACUUAUUACUCAAGACAAUCACCUACCCAGGUCAUACUUAUUACUCAAGACAAUCACCUACCCAUGUCAUACUUAUUACUCAAGACAAUCACCUACCCAGGUCAUACUUAUUACUCAAGACAUUCACCUUCCCAGGUCAUACUUAUUACCCAAGACAAUCACCUACCCAGGUCAUACUUAUUACCCAAGACCCAGGUCAUACUUAUUACCCAAGACAAUCACCUACCCAGGUCAUACUUAUUACCCAAGACCCAGGUCAUACUUAUUACCCAAGACAAUCACCUACCCAGGUCAUACUUAUUACCCAAGACCCAGGUCAUACUUAUUACCCAAGACAAUCACCUACCCAGGUCAUACUUAUUACCCAAGACCCAGGUCAUACUUAUUACCCAAGACAAUCACCUACCCAGGUCAUACUUAUUACCCAAGACCCAGGUCAUACUUAUUACCCAAGACAAUCACCUACCCAGGUCAUACUUAUUACCCAAGACCCAGGUCAUACUUAUUACCCAAGACAAUAACCUACCCAGGUCAUACUUAUUACCCAAGACAAUCACCUACCCAGGUCAUACUUAUUACCCAAGACAAUCACCUACCCAGGUCAUACUUAUUACCCAAGACAAUCACCUACCCAGGUCAUACUUAUUACCCAAGACAAUCACCUACCUAGGUCAUACUUAUUACCCAAGACAAUCAAGCAGUACUGUGUGUCAGUGUGUGUCGGCUAUGUGAUGUCUGUGUGUA